AUUUUUAGUAGAGACGGGGUUUCAUCAUGUUGGAUAGACUGGUCUUGAUCUCUUGACCUCAUGAUCCGCCAGCCUCAGCCUCCCAAAGUGCUGGGAUUAUAGGCAUGAGCCACCGGACCCGGCCCACCCUUCCAUUCUUUGGGCAUCCUCUGCCCAAACUCCUUUGCAACCAUCAGACCCAGGCAACUGUGUGGCCAGCUUUCUGGACCUGGUCCUGGGCAAGGGCAUUCAGCAUGGAGGUCAAGGUGAAUGUGGUCAUGCCCCCUGUAUCCUCCUCCCCCAACAGCCCCCCAAGAUGGUUCCCACAGCCACCAAGCUCCUCAAUGGUCACAGUAGCACUGGGCUCAGAGAGGGCGCCUUCCCCAUGGGUCCGGUAGCUGCAGCUAUAGUUGCCAGCCCGAUGAACUGGAAAGGUGGCCUCCACAUCCUCCUGGGCUUCAGGCACCUCCAGAAACUCAUGGUCGCCUUCCCGCCUCAGCAGAAAAGUCACACCCCGCAGCCCGCCUCGGCACACUGCUGUUGUGUUCAGGCCGGGGGUGAUCCAGGACACUGGCGUCAUUGAGAGCCAGGGAGCAGGCAAGGACUCUGUGGGUGGGUGGAGUUGAAGAGCGGUUCUGCAUAACAUGGGAAACGUGGGAAGCCCAGCAGAACCUGGGCCCCACACUCAAAACUGUGAAGGAGACAGGGACGGAGGGCAUUGCUGGGAGAAGGCAGGCAGGCACCAGUGGAAACAAGGCAUAUGGCAAGAGAAAAGAGUGUGUGGGAGCUGUACGGCAUGCCGGGCCUGCUGGGGACACAGCCAUGUAUUCCUCACAACACUCUGGGGUUAACGCAGACAUCAUCCCCAUUUGACAGAUGGGAAGAUUGGGGCUCAGAGACAUCAGGUGACUUGGAGGAAGGGAGACCCCCCAAUCAACAACCUACCCACUGCCUCCUGGCCCCCAAUUCAUGCCCCGGCUCACUUGGCCCUGUCAGCUCCAGGAGCUUGCUCAGCUGGGUCCAUCCUGUGGACAAGCCUGAGCGGCAGCGGUAGCGGCCCUGGGUGUCACCUGUCAGCAGGAACUGGUGCUCGAUGGCAGGGACCCAGACCCCAGGAGGCCUCACCCCAGAGCAAGAGAAAGACCACCAGCAUGGACAUGAUGGUCGCGCUCACUCCGGUGCAGUGAGUGUCUGGGUGUUGGAUCCUGGAUCCUGUUCUAGAAGGAGAUGCUGAGUUCUCCCCACUCUACCUGGAGCUGCUGAGGUCAAGUGGAGAGUGCCAGGGCUGAAGCCCAGCGAGCCCCUCCCUGUCACACCACCCCGCACGUGACACCAAAGGUGAGGUUCACUUCACUUUCUGCGGUUGCCCUCACAUGGGCUGUCUGGAGGUGCACCGUCACUCUUCCUGAGGACUGUGGUUCCUUCUCCAUCACUGGUUCAUUCUGCAUGGCGUGACCGACCACUGCUCUGGGGUCAGAUUCCCACCCAGGUCAUUCGGCUGAGACCUGCGCGUCCCAGGCCUACCCGUGCCAUGUGCUCAGUUACCUGAGCUGCUGGUGGCCACUCAUGUGGCUAUAGCCUGCUGCCUGGAGGCCAGGCCUCCCGCUUCCCCUGCCUCCCCCUCUCCCUGUGGCCUCUCUCUCACCACAGCCUGUUGGGAUGGAACAGGACAGGGGUGAGACUGUGGUGCUUUCACACUCAGCCUCCAUGGACGUCCUGUCAUUCCCACCCCGGGAGGUCUGGUCCCCACCCUGGGUGUCCCAGCCUAGCUCCGCUACGAGUGUGAGGGCCCAGGGCAACCGCCUAGCCCUCAUCUGCCCCUGCACUGCAUCCCCCCCACUCACUCAUUCCACAGGCAUUUAUUGAGCAUCUACUGUGUUCCAGAUGCAAAGAAGACAGUGGGAUAACUGGGCAAGGAGCAUUCCGGGCAGAGGGAGCAGCCAGUGCAAAGAUGGGAGAUGCGGUUGCAGUGAGAAGGAGCCGAGGAGACCAGGAGUUGAGGCGACUACAGAACGAUUGCAGAGCUCAGAGACGUGAUGAAGACCAGCUGCGCACUGCAGCGGCUCUGGCUUCUGCUGUGAGGGAUGGGGAGCUGUGGAGACGCCCUCUGUUUGGUCCCAUUUCCCUAUUGCUGAGCACCUGCUGCAUGCUCUCUGUCCUGCUCAGAGCCAGUACCUGGAGGGAGGCUGUGUGUUCUGGGUGGACUGGGGGAGAAUGCAUUCUUUGCAGAGACAACCCGGUGCUGAGGCCUGAAGUUAUAACCAGACCUGGGGCACUCAGACAAGGACUGGUGGCCAGCCAGAGGAGCAGAGCUCAGGGUGUGCACAGAACUCAGAAGUCAGAUCAUUGAACAGUGGCUGAACCUUUCAGCCCAUUGGCAGUGAGGCAGCCCAGGCAGCCAGAGGCCUGGGCAAAUCUGAGGUCUGCAGAGAUGGAGCUGUCAGUCUGCUUCCUUUGGCAGUCCCAACACCAGCCUCGUUGCACCCUCCUCUUAGCUCCCCUGGGUUCUCCAGCCCUAAGGGUGGUGGCAGCUUCCUGCAAGUAUCCAGCUCUGAGAUUCUGCAACAUCCACUUUUGCUCUCUGAGCCUCGCAAAACCUGCACAGUCCCUGACUUAUAUACCCUCUGUUUGAAAUACCUAGUGUGGUUUCUGUUUCCUGA